rnacentral:rRNA from 1 species
GACGAACGCUGGCGGCGUGCCUAAUACAUGCAAGUAGAACGCUGAAGCGAGGAGCUUGCUCUUCUUGGAUGAGUUGCGAACGGGUGAGUAACGCGUAGGUAACCUGCCUUGUAGCGGGGGAUAACUAUUGGAAACGAUAGCUAAUACCGCAUAACAAUGGAUGACACAUUUCAUUUAUUUGAAAGGGGCAAUUGCUCCACUACAAGAUGGACCUGCGUUGUAUUAGCUAGUAGGUGAGGUAAUGGCUCACCUAGGCGACGAUACAUAGCCGACCUGAGAGGGUGAGCGGCCACACUGGGACUGAGACACGGCCCAGACUCCUACGGGAGGCAGCAGUAGGGAAUCUUCGGCAAUGGGGGCAACCCUGACCGAGCAACGCCGCGUGAGUGAAGAAGGUUUUCGGAUCGUAAAGCUCUGUUGUAAGUCAAGAACGGGUGUGAGAGUGGAAAGUUCACACUGUGACGGUAGCUUACCAGAAAGGGACGGCUAACUACGUG